UACGGGGGGGGCAAGCGUUGUUCGGAAUUACUGGGCGUAAAGGGCGCGUAGGCGGCCUGCUAAGUCGGACGUGAAAUCCCCAAGCUUAACUUGGGAACUGCAUCCGAUACUGGAUGGCUUGAAUCCGGGAGAGGGAUGCAGAAUUCCAGGUGUAGCGGUGAAAUGCGUAGAGAUGUGGAGGAACACCGAUGGCGAAGGCAGCCCCCUGGGCUGAGAUUGACGCUCAGGCACGAAAGCGUGGGGAGCAAACAGG
rnacentral:rRNA from 1 species